AUAGAAGGCUUUGACAUCAACACAAAAAUGAGCAGGUGUUACUGAUAUGCAGAGCCCGAAUGGUGUUACAUCAGAGCUAGCCUACUCUUUUCAACUUCUCUUGAGUGGCCACAGUCAACAGCAGCCAGGAAAGAUUCUGCGGAGAUUUCAGAAGCAAACAACUCCUAAGAUGAAAUUGCACGCUGUUCUGAGAAGUAUGAGGAUAGCCUGCUGUGCCCUGCUCCUUUCUACUCAGGGCAUGAGUCAACCCCCCGUACAGCAUGUUUACACAGUAUGUCUCUUGAGUCCCGUAGUCACCAAGGAGACAUCUCAGCUUUCAGAUGGACUAUAAUGACAUCCAAAUGCUUGAAUUUAAGUAACCUUUGUUUUUCUUACAUCUGACCCCACUGUAAAGAGUAUUGUGCUGGCAACUUAA